AACGGCCAUACCAUGCUGAAUAUACCGGUUCUCGUUAGUCAAGCAUCAUUGGGCGCGGUCAGUACUUGGGUGGGUGACCACCUGGGAACACCGCGUGCCGUU